UGGCUCAGGAUGAACGCUGGCGGCGUAGCCUAACACAUGCAAGUCGAACGAAGCAUAAAGACUGGAGAUUCGUCAAAGGUUUUAUGACUAGUGGCGGACGGGUGAGUAAUGUAUGAGCAACCUGCCUUUCAGUGGGGGACAACAGUUGGAAACGACUGCUAAUACCGCAUAACGUAUGAGGAUGGCAUCAUUCACAUACCAAAGGAGCAAUUCGCUGAAAGAUGGGCUCAUAUCUGAUUAGCUUGUUGGCGGGGUAACGGCCCACCAAGGCGACGAUCAGUAGCCGGACUGAGAGGUUGAACGGCCACAUUGGGACUGAGAUACGGCCCAGACUCCUACGGGAGGCGGCAGUGGGGAAUAUUGGGCAAUGGGCGAAAAAGCCUGACCCAGCAACGCCGCGUGAAGGAAGAAGGUCUUCGGAUUGUAAACUUCUUUUAUGAGGGACGAAGGACGUGACGGUACCUCAUGAAUAAGCCACGGCUAACUACGUGCCAGCCGCCGC
rnacentral:rRNA from 1 species